CCUGUAGCGCAAUGGAUAGCGCGUUGAACUUCUAAUUCAAAGGUCGUAGUUCCGAAACCCUACUGGAACGG